GAGUGGUACCCCGCACUUGCGCUGCGUAGGAAGCCUAGGAAUCUGCAUGCCAAGUUUGAAUAUUCUUACUCUUAUAGUUUCCGAGAUCUCAGUGUUCAUACGGACGGACGGAAAGAAUGAGGCGAAUAGGCGAAUUACGACGGCGGUGCUCUCAACGCGGUACCCAGAUGAGAUAAGGAAACAUUGAAAAAAAAUUCAGCAGCAGUACAGAUGGAAAGGGUGCCGUGUCCAAGCUGUUGCCCUAAUUGCUGAACUUAGCCCACCGGAAGCAAUACCACAAAGGGUGAUUUCGCAGAAUACUGGAAAUGCUGGUGAUAAUUCAAUCAAGAAGCUUAUUAAGAAGAAGCAUGAUUAGUGGGACUUCGCUUCCCUCAUAAAUAUCCUUCCGAAAUGGUCCUUUCUUAAGAAAGUAAAUUUUGGACAAAAGAAUUUGGUUAGGAGGAAAUAAUACCGCCCUUUAAGUGACAGCUGGAGGAGCCAUAUAGAUUCAGCAGAUUCGUUUUUUUUUGUAAUUGCUCCAGUUUUUUGUUUGUCAACAAAUCAAAACAAGCAGCUUUUUAUUUUCA